ACCGAGGCAACCCCUCAAACCCUAGCUGCCUUCUCGUUUCUUCCCCUGCGCCGCCGCCAUCCCUUUCCUCUCUUCCACGCAACGAAGCAAACUUUUCCCAAUCAAAUUCAGAGUUUCAGAGAAUACCUCCGCCACAGCAUCGCCGUCGCGCCGUCGUCUCCGGCCACCUCUCGACAAGCUGAUGCCACAUCUAGCUCCGCCUUGACGCACUACAUCUCGUCGACCAAAGAACGCAGCAAACAGAGCUCGAAAUCGACAGCAAGGACCACUUCUCCAUCUCCGCCGCCGGCAGAAAUCCUGUGUUUCUGGCCGCCUCCGACCUCGUCCGCCCCCGCCGAGGUGUUCAUCAGCUUCUUGGUGAGAUGGUGUCCCUUUUCCCCAUCUUUCCCGUCCUUUUUGCUCACUGCUCGCCGCCGCUUAUUUCUGACGGAGCUGUCAUCUGCUGUUGUCCGAGCGCAUCUCCGCCAUGGUCGGCUGCAAGCCUGCUUGCCGCUCGUGCUCGUCCCUGAUGGACUCCUUCCUGGCCUACCUCGUUCUCUGCCGACAGCCUCCUGCUGAAGUCUUCUUCGUCAGUUCGUGUUCCUCCGCACCUUGUGCAGGUCUAGUCUGCAUCUUGGAUGUCGUUAAAAUUCCCAAAUUCCCAGAUGCAUUUGCUUCUUCCCGGAUAGGAUCACGAAGUAUUGAUGUGAGAUACGAC